AGGGGUAGAUGGGUGGCCGCUUCGCACAGGCGGAGAGGAAAGUCCGGGCAUCAACGGGCAGGAUGAUCCCUAACAGGGACUGGGGGUAACCCUAAGGAAAGUGCAACAGAAAAUACACCGCCACCCGCCUCUGGCGGGAGUGAAGAGUUGGAAAUGAUCGGUUAGAAGGGAAAGCCCUUCGCACCAGACUUCAAACUGCCAACUCCCAACGCUGAAAUGUAUGUUUCGGUUGGUAAGGGUGAAAUGGUGAGGUAAGAGCUCACCAGUUCCGUGGUGACACGGAAGCUUGGCAAACCCCAUCUGAUGCAAGGCCAAAAAGGGGGCUGUUGGAAACAGCGGCGAGGAUUGCCCAUCCUUUAACCCGGGUAGGCCGCAAGAGGUUUAGAGUAAUCUAAACCCACAGAGAAAUGGCCACCAUCCCGCAAUAUUGGGAGACAGAACCCGGCUUACAGUCUGCCCCUCUCC
rnacentral:RNase_P_RNA from 1 species